UACGUAGGGGGCAAGCGUUGUCCGGAUUUAUUGGGCGUAAAGGGAACGCAGGCGGUCUUUUAAGUCUGAUGUGAAAGCCUUCGGCUUAACCGAAGAAGUGCAUUGGAAACUGGAAGACUUGAGUGCAGAAGAGGAGAGUGGAACUCCAUGUGUAGCGGUGAAAUGCGUAGAUAUAUGGAAGAACACCAGUGGCGAAGGCGGCUCCCUGGUCUGGAACUGACGCUGAGGUUCGAAAGCGUGGGUAGCAAACAGG
rnacentral:rRNA from 1 species